UACAGAGGUCCCAAGCGUUGUUCGGAUUCACUGGGCGUAAAGGGUGCGUAGGUGGCCAGGUAAGUUCGGUGUGAAAGCUCGGAGCUUAACUCCGAAAUGGCAUUGAAUACUAUCUGGCUAGAGGGUCGGAGGGGAGACUGGAAUUCUCGGUGUAGCAGUGAAAUGCGUAGAUAUCGAGAGGGACACCAGUGGCGAAGGCGAGUCUCUGGACGACUCCUGACACUGAGGCACGAAAGCCAGGGGAGCAAACAGG
rnacentral:rRNA from 1 species